AGAGUUUGAUCCUGGCUCAGGAUGAACGCUGGCGGCGUGCCUAAUACAUGCAAGUCGAACGCUUCACUUCGGUGAAGAGUGGCGAACGGGUGAGUAAUACAUAAGUAACCUGGCAUCUACAGGGGGAUAACUGAUGGAAACGUCAGCUAAGACCGCAUAGGUGUAGAGAUCGCAUGAACUCUAUAUGAAAAGUGCUACGGGACUGGUAGAUGAUGGACUUAUGGCGCAUUAGCUUGUUGGUAGGGUAACGGCCUACCAAGGCGACGAUGCGUAGCCGACCUGAGAGGGUGACCGGCCACACUGGGACUGAGACACGGCCCAGACUCCUACGGGAGGCAGCAGUAGGGAAUUUUCGGCAAUGGGGGAAACCCUGACCGAGCAACGCCGCGUGAAGGAAGAAGUAAUUCGUUAUGUAAACUUCUGUCAUAGAGGAAGAACGGUGGAUAUAGGGAAUGAUAUCCAAGUGACGGUACUCUAUAAGAAAGCCACGGCUAACUACGUGCCAGCAGCCGCGGUAAUACGUAGGUGGCGAGCGUUAUCCGGAAUUAUUGGGCGUAAAGAGGGAGCAGGCGGCACUAAGGGUCUGUGGUGAAAGAUCGAAGCUUAACUUCGGUAAGCCAUGGAAACCGUAGAGCUAGAGUGUGUGAGAGGAUCGUGGAACUCCAUGUGU
rnacentral:rRNA from 1 species